rnacentral:rRNA from 1 species
AUGGUGUACGACUGUUGCGUCAAUGCCGGGCCCACUUGUCCAGAUAUACAUACGCUUUUCUUCCCAUCUUGGCUAUAUAUAUUGUUCAGUGUAAACAUAGGAAAGGAACAAAAUAGUAGAGCACAACAAAGACAUCAGGUGUGGAAAUUGUAUUUCAUGGUCUUCCCAUUUCACUUAAUAUCUGUCGUCAUAAGGAUGAGAGGUAUCAGGAAAAGGAUUUCCAUUCUGCCAGAGAGUGAAGGUGCGCAACAAUCUAAAUUGUGUUUGUUUAUUUGCAGAACCUUGCAUAUCACAUUCCAUUAG